GAGUCUGAUGGAGCACGCCGCGUGAGUGAAGAAGGGUUUCGGCUCGUAAAACUCUGUUGUUAGAGAAGAACAGCCGUGAGAGCAACUGCUCACGGUAUGACGGUAUCUAACCAGAAAGUCACGGCUAACUACGUGCCAGCAGCCGCGGUAAUACGUAGGUGGCAAACGUUGUCCGGAUUUAUUGGGCGUAAAGGGAGCGCAGGCGGUUUAUUAAGUCUGAUGUGAAAGCCUUCGGCUUAACCGGAGAAGUGCAUCGGAAACUGAUAAACUUGAGUGCAGAAAAGGAUAGUGGAACUUCAUGUGUAGCGGUGAAAUGCGUAGAUAUAUGAAGGAACACCAGUGGCGAAGGCGGCUAUCUGGUCUGUAACUGACGCUGAGGCUCGAAAGCAUGGGUAGCAAACAGGAUUAGAUACCCUGGUAGUCCAUGCCGUAAACGAUGAAUGCUAGGUGUUGGAAGGUUUCCGCCUUUCAGUGCCGCAGCUAACGCAUUAAGCAUUCCGCCUGGGGAGUACGACCGCAAGGUUGAAACUCAAAGGAAUUGACGGGGACCCGCACAAGCGGUGGAGCAUGUGGUUUAAUUCGAUGCUACGCGAAGAACCUUACCAGGACUUGACAUCUUCUGCCAAUCUAAGAGAUUAGACGUUCCCUUCGGGGACAGAAUGACAGGUGGUGCAUGGUUGUCGUCAGCUCGUGUCGUGAGAUGUUGGGUUAAGUCCCGCAACGAGCGCAACCCUUGUCUUUAGUUGCCAGCAUUAAGUUGGGCACUCUAGAGAGACUGCCGGUGAUAAACCGGAGGAAGGUGGGGAUGACGUCAAAUCAUCAUGCCCCUUAUGUCCUGGGCUACACACGUGCUACAAUGGGCGAUACAACGAGUUGCGAAACCGCGAGGUCAAGCUAAUCUCUUAAAGUCGUUCUCAGUUCGGAUUGCAGUCUGCAACUCGACUGCAUGAAGUUGGAAUCGCUAGUAAUCGUGGAU
rnacentral:rRNA from 2 species